ACCACUUCUUGGCCUUUUGGCUAAGAUCAAGUGUAGUGUCUGUUAUCAGUUCAAUAUCUGACAUGCCCUCUAUCCGAGGACAAUGUAUUAAAUGGAUUUGGGGAGCAGGGCGAUGGAAUAGGAGCUUGCUCUGUCCACUCCACCAUCGACCCGGUUUUGCAGUCCCUCCGGGGACAGUGCAUAAAAA